UACAGAGGGUGCGAGCGUUGUUCGGAAUUAUUGGGCGUAAAGAGCGCGCAGGCGGUCGUUCAAGUCGAGUGUGAAAGCCCCCGGCUCAACUGGGGAGGGUCAUUCGAUACUGAUCGACUUGAAGGCAGGAGAGGGAAGCGGAAUUCCCGGUGUAGUGGUGAAAUGCGUAGAUAUCGGGAGGAACACCAGUGGCGAAGGCGGCUUCCUGGCCUGUUCUUGACGCUGAGGCGCGAAAGCUAGGGGAGCAAACGGG
rnacentral:rRNA from 1 species